UACGUAGGUGGCAAGCGUUGUCCGGAUUUACUGGGCGUAAAGAGCGCGCAGGCGGUCGUUCAAGUCGCGUGUGAAAGCCCCCGGCUCAACUGGGGAGGGUCACGCGAUACUGAUCGACUCGAAGGCAGGAGAGGGAAGUGGAAUUCCCGGUGUAGUGGUGAAAUGCGUAGAUAUCGGGAGGAACACCAGUGGCGAAGGCGGCUCACUGGCUCGUUUCUGACGCUCAGGCGCGACAGCGUGGGGAUCAAACAGG
rnacentral:rRNA from 1 species